UCAAAUCAUUGGUUAAUUCGAGUUUCCGGCGUUGUUUUAGGUGGUUUAAUGAUUGGUACAAGUUUUGUUGAGGUGCCAGUGGCGUCAGGUGUGUUUCAGAUGCUCAACGUAGCAUUUUAGAGUCUUGAAAAAGUUGCAGAUUUUUCCCUUCAGCUGUUUCAGAUCCCUUCUUCAUUGCGAUGGGAUGCCUUUCCCUGAGAUCUCAUAGGUGUAAUUCCAUAGGGGGC
rnacentral:lncRNA from 1 species